rnacentral:rRNA from 1 species
CCUACGGGAGGCAGCAGUGGGGGAUAUUGCACAAUGGGGGGAACCCUGAUGCAGCGACGCCGCGUGAGCGAAGAAGUACCUCGGUAUGUAAAGCUCUAUCAGCAGGGAAGAAAAUGACGGUACCUGACUAAGAAGCCCCGGCUAAAUACGUGCCAGCAGCCGCGGGACUACGUAUGGGGCAAGCGUUAUCCGGAUUUACUGGGUGUAAAGAGGGCGCAGGCGGCCUGCCCAGUCUGGUGGUAACACCCGGGGCCCAACCCCUGGCCUGCAGUGGAAACUGGCGGGCUGGAGUGUCGGAGGGGCAGGCGGAAUUCGUAGUGUAGCGGUGAAAUGCGUAGAUAUUAGGAGGAACACCGGUUGCGAAGGCAGCCUGCUGGACGAUGACUGACGCUGAGGCUCGAAAGCGUGGGGAGCAAACAGGAUUAGAUACCCUAGUAGUC